AGGCGGAUAGCUCAGUUGGGAGAGCGCAGCCCUUACAAGGCUGAGGUCGCAGGUUCGAUCCCUGUUCCGCCUA
rnacentral:tRNA from 1 species